UGAGCAGAGAUAUGUGUGUAUCGGAAUUCUGAUUUAAAUGCAGUUUAAUCCGAAAGAAUUCUCUGCAAAAUUGAUUAUUGGUGAAGGUGGGCAGUAGAGUUUCAUGCUCCUAUGAUUUAUCAACAAUCAUUUUCUCCACAUCU